rnacentral:rRNA from 1 species
ACGAGUGCCCCAAGCGUUAUCCGGAAUCAUUGGGCGUAAAGGGUGUGUAGGCGGUUGUGUUAGUCUUUUGUUAAAUUCUUCGGCUUAACCGGGGACCUGCGAAGGAAACGGCACAACCAGAGGAUGCGAGAGGUGAGUGGAACUCAUGGAGUAGGGGUGAAAUCCGUUGAUAUCAUGGGGAACACCGAAAGCGAAGGCAAUUCACUGGCGCACUCCUGACGCUGAGACACGAAAGCGUAGGUAGCGAAUGGGA